rnacentral:rRNA from 1 species
GCCAGACUCCUACGGGAGGCAGCAGUGGGGGAUAUUGCACAAUGGGGGGAACCCUGAUGCAGCGACGCCGCGUGGGUGAAGGAGUGCUUCGGCAUGUAAAGCCCUAUCGGCAGGGAAGAAGCAAGACGGUACCUGACUAAGAAGCCCCGGCUAACUCCGUGCCAGCAGCCGCGGUAAUACGGAGGAUGCGAGCGUUAUCCGGAUUUAUUGGGUUUAAAGGGUGCGUAGGCGGAUCGUUAAGUCAGUGGUCAAAUGGGGGGCCUCACCCCCUCCCCGCCAUUGAAACUGGCGUUCUUGAGUGGAAGAGAAGUAUGCGGAAUGCGUGGUGUAGCGGUGAAAUGCAUAGAUAUCACGCAGAACCCCGAUUGCGAAGGCAGCAUGCCGGCUUCCGACUGACGCUGAAGCACGAAAGCGUGGGGAUCGAACAGGAUUAGAUACCCCCGUAU